CACCUCUUAGGGUCGCACCCGGAGAGUUUCCAGGACUCUACCAGCCUCGACUACGGGAGGGAGAGUCAAGCAGAGGCCUACACAUUCCAUUUCCAGCUUGGGCAGUGGCUAGCGAGUGGAAGGCCAUCUGCUACAAGU
rnacentral:snoRNA from 1 species